ACUUACCCUUUUCUCUGAUGGAGGUCUGUCUCCAUCAUACGGAGCUCUCCUGAUGAUCCUGUUGGGUUGAAUCUCUGAACGGACGAGGGCGACCCAAGAGAAGCUCUCGACUUGCUUUUCUUUGAAGGAGAGCAUCAACGCUUUUUUUCUCUGUCUGUUUUACAUUUUGUUCUCCACACUUUACUUUGAGUAAAGUUAAGACUACACCUCCCAGGAUUGCUAUGGAGCAGACAGCAGGGAUCCAGAGGAAGUGACGGUGCCGGUCACCUGAUGUGGAAAACAAAAAGCAAACAGAGAGAAAAGUUAGAGAGACUUGUAUAAAACAUGAGCAGGAUCAGAACAUUCUUGUCUCAGAGAAUUGAAGCAUUUUCUCACUUUGAACAUUGAUCUGAUCGAUUGGUUCUGGAGUCGUCAGGUCCGGCGAUGACUCUGUUGUCCUUCCAACGUUUGG